rfam:Asian citrus Psyllid, Diaphorina citri - Florida Strain, whole genome shotgun sequence.
UUGGUAGUGCGUCUGCCUUGUAAGCGCUAGGCCGCGGGUUCGAUUCCCGCCCGGGGCG